rnacentral:rRNA from 1 species
UUCGGGUUUAAAGCCCUUUUGUUGGGAAAGAAAUCCAGCUAGCUAAUACCCGGUUGGGAUGACGGUACCCAAAGAAUAAGCACCGGCUAACUUCGUGCCAGCAGCCGCGGUAAUACGAAGGGUGCAAGCGUUACUUGGAAUUACUGGGCGUAAAGCGUGCGUAGGUGGUCGUUUAAGUCCGUUGUGAAAGCCCUGGGCUCAACCUGGGAACUGCAGUGGAUACUGGGCGACUAGAGUGUGGUAGAGGGUAGCGGAAUUCCUGGUGUAGCAGUGAAAUGCGUAGAGAUCAGGAGGAACAUCCAUGGCGAAGGCAGCUACCUGGACCAACACUGACACUGAGGCACGAAAGCGUGGGGAGCAAACAGGAUUAGAUACCCUGGUAGUCCACGCCCUAAACGAUGCGAACUGGAUGUUGGG